rnacentral:rRNA from 1 species
AAUAGAUACCCCCGGGUAGUCCCCAGCUGUAAACGAUGCAGACUCGGUGAUGAAUUGGCUUAUUGCUAAUUCAGUGCCGCAGGGAAGCCGUUAAGUUUGCCGCCUGGGGAGUACGGUCGCAAGACUGAAACUUAAAGGAAUUGGCGGGGGGAGCACCACAAGGGGGUGAAGCCUGCGGUUCAAUUGGAGUCAACGCCGGAAAUCUUACCGGGGGCGACAGCAGAGUGAAGGUCAAGCUGAAGACUUUACCAGACAAGCUGAGAGGAGGUGCAUGGCCGUCGCCAGCUCGUGCCGUGAGGUGUCCUGUUAAGUCAGGUAACGAGCGAGAUCCCUGCCUCUAGUUGCUACCAUUAUUCUCAGGAGUAGUGGAGCUAAUUAGAGGGACCGCCGUCGCUGAGACGGAGGAAGGUGGGGGCUACGGCAGGUCAGUAUGCCCCGAAACCCUCGGGCCACACGCGGGCUGCAAUGGUAAGGACAAUGAGUUUCGAUUCCGGAAAAGGAGGAGGCAAUCUCUAAAACCUUACCACAGUUAUGAUUGAGGGGCUGAAACC